rnacentral:misc_RNA from 1 species
UACAUAGGGUGCAAGCGUUGUCCGGAAUUAUUGGGCGUAAAGAGCUCGUAGGUCGUUUGACACGUCGGAUGUGAAAAUCUGAGGCUUAACCUCAGACCUGCAUUCGAUACGGUCAAACUAGAGUGUGGUAGGGGAGACUGGAAUUCCUGGUGUAGCGGUGGAAUGCGCAGAUAUCAGGAGGAACACCAAUGGCGAAGGCAGGUCUCUGGGCCAUUAUUGACACUGAGGAGCGAAAGCGCGGGGAGCGAACAGG